ensembl:lncRNA
AUGACAACAGAGCUUAAUGAAACAGAAUGUACAACAGAAAUUGAGAUACUGAUACCAGAAGAUAAAACACUUGUGGAGAGAACAGUUACCACACAUGAAGAAAGACAGUCAGAGCCUGUUGAUUUAAUUUCACAACAUCUAGAAACAGAAGGAAAAAAUGAACCAGUGACACCAAACACAUCCAAAAAAUAUGCUGAAGAUUUACAGGAGACUGGUCAAGAGAGAAAAAUGACAACAGAUCUUCCUGAAACGGCAUGUACAACAGAAAUCAACUUAUCAACAGCAGAAGAACGAACUUCACUGGAGAAAGCAACUGCAACAUAUGAAGAAAGACAGUCAAAGCCUGAUGAUUUCAUUUCAGAAAAUACUGAAUCAAAAGUAACAAAUGAACAAGUGACAUCAAACAUAUCCACAAAAUAUGCAGAAGAUUUCAUUUCAACCAGACAAGAGACAUCAAUGACAACAGAGGCUCUUGAAACUGCAUGUACGACAGGAAUUGAGUUACAAACACCAGAAGAUAAGAGACCUAUGAUGACAACAGCUACCACAUAUGAAGAAAGACACUCAGUACCUGUUGAUUUCAUUUCAGAAAAUAUUGAGUCAAAAGGUACAAAUGAACCACUGACACCAACCAUAUCCACAAAAUCUGCAGAAGGUUUCACAAAGAACAGAGAAGAGACAUUGAUGACAACAGAGGCUCUUGAAACUGAAUGUACAACAGAAAUUGAAUUACAAACACCAGAAGAUAAAACACCUGUCAUGACAACAGCUACCACAUAUGAAAAAAGACAUUCAGAACCUGAUGAUUUCAUUUCAGAAAACACUGAGUCAAAUGAACCGGUAACAACAACCAUAUCCACAAAAUAUGCAGAAGUUUUCAUUUCAACCAGACAAGAGACAUUAAAAACAACAGAAGCUAUUGAAACUGAAUGCACAACAGAAAUUGAGUUACAAACACCAGAAGAUAAGAGACCUAUGAUGACAACAGCUACCACAUAUGAAGAAAGACACUCAAAAUCUGUUGAUAUAAUUUCAGAAAAUAUUGAGUCAAAAGGUACAAAUGAACCACUGACACCAACCAUAUCCAAAAAAUCUGCAGAAGACUUCACAAAGAGCAGAGAAGAGACAUUGAUGACAACAGAGGCUCUUUAA